rnacentral:rRNA from 1 species
GUGCCUACGGGGCGCAGCAGUGGGGAAUAUUGCACAAUGGGGGGAACCCUGAUGCAGCGACGCCGCGUGAGUGAAGAAGUAUUUCGGUAUGUAAAGCUCUAUCAGCAGGGAAGAAGAUGACGGUACCUGACUAAGAAGCCCCGGCUAACUACGUGCCAGCAGCCGCGGUAAUACGUAGGGGGCAAGCGUUAUCCGGAUUUACUGGGUGUAAAGGGCGUGCAGCCGGGCUGACAAGUCAGAUGUGAAAUCCCGCGGCUCAACCGCGGAACUGCAUUUGAAACUGUUAGUCUUGAGUACCGGAGAGG